rnacentral:rRNA from 1 species
CUACGGGCGGCACCAGUGGGGAAUAUUGCACAAUGGAGGAAACUCUGAUGCAGCAACGCCGCGUGGAGGAUGACACUUUUCGGAGCGUAAACUCCUUUUAUAUAGGAAGAUAAUGACGGUACUAUAUGAAUAAGCACCGGCUAACUCCGUGCCAGCAGCCGCGGUAAUACGGAGGGUGCAAGCGUUACUCGGAAUCACUGGGCGUAAAGAGCGUGUAGGCGGGUUAAUAAGUCAGAAGUGAAAUCCUAUGGCUCAACCAUAGAACUGCUUUUGAAACUGUUAACCUAGAAUAUGGGAGAGGUAGAUGGAAUUUCUGGUGUAGGGGUAAAAUCCGUAGAGAUCAGAAGGAAUACCGAUUGCGAAGGCGAUCUACUGGAACAUUAUUGACGCUGAGACGCGAAAGCGUGGGGAGCAAACAGGAUUAGAUACCCCCGUAGUC